GAAUUUUGGACAAUGGGGGCAACCCUGAUCCAGCCAUUCCGCGUGAGUGAAGAAGGCCUUCGGGUUGUAAAGGGCUUUUCUGGCUGACGAGGAAGGACGGUAGGCCAGGAAUAAGCGUCGGCUAACUACGUGCCAGCAGCCGCGGUAAAACGUAGGACGCGAGCGUUAUCCGGAUUUACUGGGCGUAAAGCGCGGGCAGGCGGUGGUCCAAGUCGGACGUGAAAGCUCCCGGCUCAACUGGGAGAGGUCGUUCGAAACUGGGCCGCUAGAGGGCAGUAGAGGGGCGUGGAAUUCCGGGUGGAGUGGUGAAAUGCGUAGAGAUCCGGAGGAACACCAGAGGCGAAGGCGGCGCCCUGGGCUGCACCUGACGCUGAGCCGCGAAAGCUAGGGGAGCGAA
rnacentral:rRNA from 1 species